rnacentral:rRNA from 1 species
GACGAACGCUGGCGGCGUGCCUAAUACAUGCAAGUUGAGCGCUGAAGGUUGGUACUUGUACCAACUGGAUGAGCAGCGAACGGGUGAGUAACGCGUGGGGAAUCUGCCUUUGAGCGGGGGACAACAUUUGGAAACGAAUGCUAAUACCGCAUAAAAACUUUAAACACAAGUUUUAAGUUUGAAAGAUGCAAUUGCAUCACUCAAAGAUGAUCCCGCGUUGUAUUAGCUAGUUGGUGAGGUAAAGGCUCACCAAGGCGAUGAUACAUAGCCGACCUGAGAGGGUGAUCAGCCACAUUGGGACUGAGACACGCCCCAAACUCCUACGGGAGGCAGCAGUAGGGAAUCGUCGGCAAUGGACGAAAGUCUGACCGAGCAACGCCGCGUGAGUGAAGAAGGUUGUCGGAUCGUAAAACUCUGUUGGUAGAGAAGAACGUUGGUGAGAGUGGAAAGCUCAUCAAGUGACGGUAACUACCCAGAAAGGGACGGCUAACUACGUG